rnacentral:lncRNA from 1 species
AAAGCUCAGAAGGUAAAACGCAAAGCCAUUUCUUUGUUGGAAAAUAUUGGCCUAACCAAGCUUGCAAAAGAUGUCAAACAAUGUAAGGUGCUUGCUCUGGAAGUUUUUUUCACUGCAAAAACACACAUACUGGAUGUGCCAUUCCGUACAAUAGUCAGUGCAAACAACUGUUGGCAGGUUUUGGUUAGCAGCUUUUUGCAAAAACAGUUGAAGCUUUUAAAGAUAGAUGAUCCUUAUGGUAUAAAAAAUUCUUUUGAUGU